rnacentral:rRNA from 1 species
UGGGGAAUAUUGGACAAUGGGGGAACCCUGAUCCAGCCAUGCCGCGUGUGUGAAGAAGGCCUUUUGGUUGUAAAGCACUUUAAGCGAGGAGGAGGCUACCGAGAUUAAUACUCUUGGAUAGUGGACGUUACUCGCAGAAUAAGCACCGGCUAACUCUGUGCCAGCAGCCGCGGUAAUACAGAGGGUGCAAGCGUUAAUCGGAUUUACUGGGCGUAAAGCGCGCGUAGGUGGCCAAUUAAGUCAAAUGUGAAAUCCCCGAGCUUAACUUGGGAAUUGCAUUCGAUACUGGUUGGCUAGAGUAUGGGAGAGGAUGGUAGAAUUCCAGGUGUAGCGGUGAAAUGCGUAUAGAUCUGGAGGAAUACCGAUGGCGAAGGCAGCCAUCUGGCCUAAUACUGACACUGAGGUGCGAAAGCAUGGGGAGCAAACAGGAUUAGAUACCCUGGUAGUCCAUGCCGUACACGAUGUC